CUCGCUUCUCGGCCUUUUGGCUAAGAUCAAGUGUAGUAUCUGUUCUUAUCAGUUUCAGACGGUGACCCAAAGCACUGGGGGGGAUGGGUGCUACAUGGAGGGGACAGGUGUUCCUGGGCUGGUUCUGAGGAAUCAGCUCAACGGCUGCCCUGAUGUGACCUGUUUCCUCCGGGUCUCGCUUUGAGGCUGGGAGAGUCUAG